GGCGGCGUGGCCAAGUGGUAAGGCAAAGGACUGCAAAUCCUUCAUCCCCCGGUUCGAAUCCGGGCGCCGCCUCCA
rnacentral:tRNA from 1 species